rnacentral:pre_miRNA from 1 species
GUUUGUUGACAGAAGAUAGAGAGCACAUCUGAACAAACACAAAAGACAUUGUGUUUGAACAGUUGUGUGCUCUCUGCUCUUCUGCCAACAUACU